rnacentral:rRNA from 1 species
UACGGAGGGUGCGAGCGUUGUCCGGAAUCACUGGGCGUAAAGGGCGCGUAGGCGGCCCGGUAAGGUUGCGGUGAAAGCCCGGGGCUCAACCCCGGGUCGGCCGUGGCAACUGCUAGGCUGGAGCACAGUAGAGGCGGGUGGAAUUCCGGGUGUAGCGGUGGAAUGCGUAGAGAUCCGGAAGAACACCGGUGGCGAAGGCGGCCCGCUGGGCUGUUGCUGACGCUGAGGCGCGACAGCGUGGGGAGCAAACAGG